AGUCCCGGGGGGAUGAGCUCCCCGUACACGGCACCUCCUCAUCGCCCCAGGCCCGGGCUUCUCGGAGAUGGUGUGCCCAGCUCAGGAAGCCCAGAGCAGCCACAACCUGGAGCUGGGAGAGUGUCCAGUGAGAAGUUCUGAGAAGCCAUGACAGCAAUUUCCCAUUCUCAUUUACUUCUCUUGGCAUCUUUCACCAAAAGAAACUGCUUUCUGAAUGAGGAGAUUUGGCCAGACUGCUGAGGCUGUUCUUAGGAUCAAGUUUUCAGGUCACUGAAUCCACCCUUGAAUAACUUCAGAAAUACACCACAGAAAUGAAGAAUCCUGCAUCUGAACUCAAACCAUAGGAGACAGAUGGAAAAUGUAUUCCUGCCACAUCCACUGGCUGUCAGCAUUCAUGUCCAAAUUAUAGCUUUG